UACGAGGGGGGCGAGCGUUGUUCGGAAUUAUUGGGCGUAAAGGGUGCGUAGGCGGUUUGGUAAGUCUUGUGUGAAAUCUCCAGGCUCAACUUGGAGUCUGCACGAGAAACUGCCGGGCUUGAGUGUGGGAGAGGUGAGUGGAAUUCCUGGUGUAGCGGUGAAAUUCGUAGAUAUCGGGAGGAACACCAGUGGCGAAGGCGGCGACCUGGGCCAAUACUGACGCUGAGGUGCGAAAGCGUGGGGAGCAAACAGG
rnacentral:rRNA from 1 species